rnacentral:lncRNA from 1 species
CAUCUGUCGCCUACUCUAGUCCACUUGGGAGAUACUAAGGUGAAUUGUUUUUCUAGCCUCUUGGGUCGUAUUUGUUGGAUUUGGUAUUGGGCUAACUUGAGUUUUUCUUGAGCUGUUGGAUCGUUUCAAUUUAGUUGUAGGAGCACUUCGGCUUCGAGGAGCUGUGUGAAUUGGGUUUGAUGUAGGUGCUUCCAGGUGUCCCAUUUGUUCUCGACGAUUUUGGUGUUUUUGGCUCUGACUGUUGCUAAGGCAUUCUGUAUGCGAUGGCACCAUGAGUGGGAUGAAGAUAGGAUUAUGGCAUGUUGCCAUGCUACCGUAAGGAGUUUUUGGCCAAUUAUUGUGUCUAAUUGUCAUUUGCCACAGAAUUGGGUUCUGGGAAGAGGGCGAUGGAGGGGUUUAAGCAUUGUAAAUAUCGGAGCGUGGUCUGAGAUAUUGGAUUAUGUGGACCAGAUCCCAAUCAUGCCACCACAUUCAUGUAGUUUUUUGCUAAGGUAGAACCGAUCUAGACGUGUAAGGACAGUUCUGGGGGGUGGUCUCCUGUUAUCCCAAGUAAAGGCCUUGGUAUUAAUUUUACAAAACUCGUCCAUGUGGAAUAAGGCUUGGAGUUGUAGUCUAAUGAGGAGAUUAUUCCAGGAUGCGACCUCUCUGAAUCCGUGUCCCAAGUUAUUGUUGCCACCUUGUUUGUCUUCAAGGGAUUCAACGAAGCUGAAAUUGCCUCCCAUGAUCCACAGAGCAGGUGGGAGGGGGUGGUCUGCUGUUUGUUGCCAUAGUCUGGUUCGUGGUCCAGUAUGGUUAUAUCCGUAGAUGUUGAUGAUUCCUAAUCGCGUUGUAGGGGUGAGUUCAAUGAUUGCGUAUUGGGCUCGAUCUUUGACGAUUACACCAUAAUCUUGUAGCGUGGGUGUGAAUUUUGUAAAGAUUAGGAUCACUGUUCCUCCUGUUAGGCUAUCAUCCAAUGCAGAAUAGGUUGCAGCAUUCCAAAGGAGGGGGCCUUUCAGAAAUUCUAGUUGUGCGGAUUUUGUUAAGCAGUCGUUGUAGGUAAAUCUGUAUUCUUGUAAUAGUAUAACAUUCGGUUUGGGGUGUAUGUUUAGCAUGAAAUCUCGCAGUUUGCGACGUUUUUUCACGCUCGACAGUCCUUUUCUCAAGCAUUGGAUGUUGAAUGAGGCCACCGUUUGGCCAUCAUUCAUGGAUUGGAGAUGGAUUGUCCGACCUCAGUUUCUACUCAAAGCGAGAUGGGGGGGUCAGAAAUGAUAUCGUGGUGGGUUCAGCCUGUUGUGGGGUCCCGAGUUUUGUUGUCCAAUCCACAUAGGUUAGUGAGUGAAGGCGUUCUAAAAUGGGGCACUGGGGAUUUGCAGAGAUAAGGGCAAUGUUUUCCAGUAUACGUUGCUACUCUGUUUGAUCUGGGUGCAUUGGUCAUCAAAGGGAAUAAUGACUAGUUAGUCGUUUAUAGGUAGGUCCUCUGUAGUUUUCCAUUCCAAUAUCCAGAGUGCAUCUGUCCAUUGUCUCAAUGGAUUUGGUCCAUUAUUGGUAUUAGUAAUUAUCGUUCUGAGUCCUUGCAUUGUGGUGUUAACUAUGUGUACACGUGCAGAGGUUUUGGACUAAUCAUGUUCGUUGAGCGCGUGUUGUAACUGUGUUUUGUAGAGAGGAGCAUCAUUGUACUUGUGGACCAGAACUUCCAAGGAGAGGUCCAGAGCAACUCGUACCAGCAUCAGAGUGAUGAUUCCUUGUGAAGUGUUGCCGUAUGGCUGUUUGAGCUCUAGUGCUUGCCAAAAUUUAGGAUGUGUUAGUGGGGAGUCGUAGGAGAUUGGUCCUUUGAGUAUUACCGGUUGUGUGUUCACCUGGGGGUGGUCUUGUUUUUUCCUUUCGAUCCAGACAAAUUGUGGUCUCUAGUUCAAUGCCGUGGGGCUUUUGUGAGGGCUUGACCGGCUAUUUGUCGAGGGCUCUUGAUCUGUCACUGGGUUGAUCGCGCUGGAGUUGUCUGAGUGGGGAGGGUUGUUGCGUGGUCUCUUCCCGUUUUUUUUCUUGAUGAGUGGGCAGUUUUUAGCAUGGUGUAAGGUGUUGCGACAUUGGUUACAUUGGAUUGGCAGACCACUGUAGUCGAUGAUAUACUCUCUUUUGCCACCUAGAAAGUUGGGUAAGACCAUUGAGUAGAGUAGUUUUGUGAUGUCGUCCACUAAUAUUCGUACUCGGGGGCCUGAGACUUUGCUUCUGUAGGUUUCGGAAGGGUCGAUCGCUAUCACCUUGUUGAUGCUGCUAAAUGCCUCCGUGAGAAGUUGUGGGGUGCGGAGUAGGCAUCGUAGUCCCCUAAGUUGGGCCCAGAUUGGGUAGGUGACAUGUUGGGAAGUUGACGCAGAUUUGGGGUCGAAAUCAGCUCUCCAUGUAGAGAAUAGGAUGUCUUGAUUAUUGAAUUUGUAUCAUUUGGUUAACGUUUGUGUUUUGCCGUGUUCACUCUUGAAAUGAAUCUCAAAGUAGCCUCCUCUUAGCAUCGUUAUUGAGGAAUAUGAAGUAUGAAGUACGUAAGUGGCCCAUUCAUGUAGAAUCCUUGGGCCGGGGUUCUUCUUCAGGUAGCCUAUAAGAAUGUGUCGCUCUUCAUGUGCGAUUUGUUCCUGGAAUUGUUGUAGUGUGUUCAUGCUAAGGGUGGCUUUGAUUGUGCUAUGGGCAGGUUGCAGUGGCGAGGACGUUGUGCCAGGUGGUGUAGGUGUGAAUGUAUUACCGAUGGUGGCGGGGUCGAUGCUAUAGGCUUGCAGAAGAGUCUUUGCGUCCGGCUUCAGUUGUUCUGAAAGUCGCUAGAGCUCUUCCUCCACGGUAUAUUGGUGUAUUAAUUCAAUUUGUGGGUUUUUCUGAAUAAAUGCUUCGGCUGCGUCCCAUUUUGCUUGAAUGAAGGUUCUAAGGUUUUCCAUCGUGUAGUAUGCUAGGUCCAAUGCCUUCUGUAUGAUCAGUGUGUCUAUGUUGAUGUUCGGAUUGAUCAUGGUGUGAGGAGUUGGGUUGGUUUCUGUGUGGUCCAGCAAUCUAAUGUCGAGCGAGUUGGGGGUGGGAGUUUGAUCUAUAUCGAGGGGUGAAUCCCCGUAGGUUGUGUUCCCUGUUGGCCCAAUCCCAGAUGUGUCCUUGGUAUCCUUGUGUAAUGCCGAGUGUGACUCUGUCUCGUUCGGAGAGUAGUUGGGAGUUUGUUGGUUAAUAAACGGAGGUGGUGCAGUCCCAAUUUCUCCGAAAUUGAAGGUCUCUUCUAAUCCAGUUGUAUUUGUGCCCUUGGUCCUAUUCGCAGUGGGAUUUGAAUCCACACCCGUUCAGAUCAGAAGUUUAAUCCGGCGCCUCAGACCAUCUCGGCCACAUGAACUUACUGAAGGGGAACUCGUUCCUUGGCGCCUUAUCAAUUACCAACACAUUGCUUAGCUUUUGUUGAUGUGAAGUGGAUGAUUUUUCUUCAAAAUAUUUAAUCAUUGUAGAGGAUUUGUAUUGUUUACUUCAAAUGCUUUAUGAUUUUUGUUAAAUUUUAUACGCAUUUAAAAAAUAAUGGAUUAUUUAUCUAAUUGAGAUUAGAAAUGAAUCCAAAGAUGGAAACAAUAAUAAUAAUUUUUUAAAUAUAAAAAAAUAAAAGCCAAAAGAUAAAUCAAAGCUGUUCUUGACAAUUGUGAUGUUUUAACUAUCAAAAAAUCUAAUUUCUCUAAAUUUUAAUUUUUGGGGAUUAUAAUGUCGAAAUUUUAAUGCAUUAAAAAAAAUGUAUUGAACUCCAAUUCAAAAUAAUCUUUUAUUACAGUAUUAAAGAAGAUUUAUUGAUGAUUUUUACACUUGACUUAUUUGUACUAAUUUUUUUGGUUUUUAUAAAAUAUAUUUGUUCUGAAUUUUUUUAAAUAUCUACUGACAAUAUUGCUGAAAUUUAAAAUAAAUCAAGGGUUUUUUAUAAUAUAAUUUAAACCAUAAUAAGAAAAAUAAGUACUUUGUAAUAUAACAUUGUAAAUAUUUAUGGAUAUUUUAAAUAAUACAAUAAUAAAAUACUUGUCUUAAAU